rnacentral:rRNA from 1 species
UGGGGAAUUUUGGACAAUGGGGGAAACCCUGAUCCAGCCAUCCCGCGUGUGCGAUGAAGGCCUUCGGGUUGUAAAGCACUUUUGGCAGGAAAGAAACGUCGCGGGUUAAUACCCCGCGAAACUGACGGUACCUGCAGAAUAAGCACCGGCUAACUACGUGCCAGCAGCCGCGGUAAUACGUAGGGUGCAAGCGUUAAUCGGAAUUACUGGGCGUAAAGCGUGCGCAGGCGGUUCGGAAAGAAAGAUGUGAAAUCCCAGAGCUUAACUUUGGAACUGCAUUUUUAACUACCGGGCUAGAGUGUGUCAGAGGGAGGUGGAAUUCCGCGUGUAGCAGUGAAAUGCGUAGAUAUGCGGAGGAACACCGAUGGCGAAGGCAGCCUCCUGGGAUAACACUGACGCUCAUGCACGAAAGCGUGGGGAGCAAACAGGAUUAGAUACCCUGGUAGUCCACGCCCUAAACGAUGUCAACUAGCUGUUGGGGCCUUCGGGCCUUGGUAGCGCAGCUAACGCGUGAAGUUGACCGCCUGGGGAGUACGGUCGCAAGAUUAAAACUCAAAUGAAUUGACGGGGUCGAUAGC